CAACUUUGACAACGGAUCACUUGGCUCUCGCAUCGAUGAAGAACGCAGCGAAAUGCGAUAAGUAAUGUGAAUUGCAGAAUUCAGUGAAUCAUCGAAUCUUUGAACGCACCUUGCGCUCCUUGGUAUUCCGAGGAGCAUGCCUGUUUGAGUGUCAUUAAUAUAUAUAUCAAACUUCUCUUGUUGAGUGGUUUGGAUGUGGGGGUUUUUGCUGGGCCUCUUAAAGGGGUUCGGCUCCUCUGAAAUGCAUUAGCAGAACAAAACCUGUUCAUUGGUGUGAUAACUAUCUACGCUAUUGAAUGCAAGGGGCAGUUCAGCUUUCUAAUAGUCCUUUGGACAAUUCAUCAUUAAUGUGACCUCAAAUCAGGUAGGACUACCCGCUGAACUUAAGCAUAUCAAUAAGCGGAGGCU
rnacentral:misc_RNA from 1 species